rnacentral:rRNA from 1 species
GGACCCGCACAAGCGGUGGAUGAUGUGGAUUAAUUCGAUGCAACGCGAAAAACCUUACCUACCCUUGACAUGUCCGGAAGCCCUUAGAGAUUUGGGUGUGCUCGAAAGAGAGCCGGAACACAGGUGCUGCAUGGCUGUCGUCAGCUCGUGUCGUGAGAUGUUGGGUUAAGUCCCGCAACGAGCGCAACCCUUGUCGUUAAUUGCCAUCAUUCAGUUGGGCACUUUAACGAGACUGCCGGUGACAAACCGGAGGAAGGUGGGGAUGACGUCAAGUCCUCAUGGCCCUUAUGGGUAGGGCUUCACACGUCAUACAAUGGUCGGUACAAAGGGUUGCCAACCCGCGAGGGGGAGCUAAUCCCAGAAAGCCGAUCGUAGUCCGGAUAGUAGGCUGCAACUCGCCUGCUUGAAGUCGGAAUCGCUAGUAAUCGUGGAUCAGCAUGUCACGGUGAAUACGUUCCCGGGUCUUGUACACACCGCCCGUCACACCAUGGGAGCGGGUUCCGCCAGAAGUAGGUAGCCUAACCGCAAGGAGGGCGCUUACCACGGCGGGGUUCGUGACUGGGGUGAAGUCGUAACAAGGUAGCCGUAGGGGAACCUGCGGCU